rnacentral:pre_miRNA from 1 species
ACACCCAUUAGUGGAGUUUUUGUUAAAUUGUAGGUGCUGAUUCGGUAGGUGGAGGGUAGAUUCUGAGCAUCUACAUUUCUGACGAGCUCCCUGGUGAUGCCAAU